GUCACAUCACGGCAGCACAUAUACUAAAAUUGGAAUGAUACAGAGAAGAUUAGCAUGGCCCCUGCGCAUUGGGGACUUUUAAGGCUCUGGGACAGUGUUUGUUUAC
rnacentral:snRNA from 1 species